rnacentral:piRNA from 1 species
AUGAGAUAAACUGGAUAUGAUAACG